GGCACGCCCGAAGUCGUUACUCCAACCCUUGUGGAGGAGGACGUCGAAGGUGGGGCUGAUGACUGGGGUGAAGUCGUAACAAGGUAGCCGUACCGGAAGGUGCGGCUGGAUCACCUCCUAACAGGGAGACAACUCAGACGUUGAUGCUUGACCAAAUUUGAUGUUAAGCCAGUGUCCUGUCACUCUAGGUCGAUCGGUACCUCAGCUUUGAGAUUGAGAACUGUAGAGAAGCGAAGCAGAAGUCAGCAGGGAAACCAACUGAUGGAUGUGAUGUGAAUCUAUUGUUGCUCAAGACUCAAUUUUCAGUUCCUAAACGUUGUCUAGGUCACCCCAAAGGGAUAGCAGCGAAAGAGAUCAAUGAUUGCAGGAGCAACGAAAGUGUUGUGAAUGGGAUGGUUGAGCGACGGAAGCUGCUGUUACUGAGAGGUAACAACUCCUGGGCCAUUAGCUCAGGUGGUUAGA
rnacentral:misc_RNA from 1 species